AACCCAUGAUGAGGACACCUUCUCAAUAAAUCCUUAAAUCUCUCUCACGCAUCAUAUAAUGUCUCCAAAUCGAUUUGAGCAAAAGAAGAGAUCAUUCAUCAACUU
rfam:Gossypium raimondii Chr10_contig_996, whole genome shotgun sequence.